rnacentral:rRNA from 1 species
UACAUGUGGGGCAAGCGUUGUCCGGAAUUAUUGGGCGUAAAGAGCUCGUAGGCGGUCUGUCGCGUCGGUCGUGAAAACUUGGGGCUUAACCCUGAGCUUGCGGUCGAUACGGGCAUGACUGGAGUUCGGUAGGGGAGACUGGAAUUCCUGGUGUAGCGGUGGAAUGCGCAGAUAUCAGGAGGAACACCGGUGGCGAAGGCGGGUCUCUGGGCCGAAACUGACGCUGAGGAGCGAAAGCGUGGGGAGCGAACAGG